rfam:Fukomys damarensis contig136755, whole genome shotgun sequence.
AGGGAUUAAGCUCAGUGGUUCCAGCACCUGCCUCAAAAGCAGAAGGACCCAAGUUUGAUCCCUGGUACCCCCC